GACGAACGCUGGCGGCGUGCUUAACACAUGCAAGUCGAACGGAAAGGCCUUUUCGGAGGUACUCGAGUGGCGCACGGGUGAGUAACACGUGGGUGAUCUGCCCUGCACUCUGGGAUAAGCCUGGGAAACUGGGUCUAAUACCGGAUAGGACCGCACUUUAGUGUGUGUGGUGGAAAGUUUUUUCGGUGUAGGAUGAGCCCGCGGCCUAUCAGCUUGUUGGCGGGGUAAUGGCCUACCAAGGCGGCGACGGGUAGCCGGACUGAGAGGUUGGUCGGCCACAUUGGGACUGAGAUACGGCCCAGACUCCUACGGGAGGCAGCAGUGGGGAAUAUUGCACAAUGGGCGCAAGCCUGAUGCAGCGACGCCGCGUGGGGGAUGACGGCCUUCGGGUUGUAAACUCCUUUCGCCAGGGACGAAGCGUUUUGUGACGGUACCUGGAGAAGAAGCACCGGCUAACUACGUG
rnacentral:rRNA from 1 species